rnacentral:misc_RNA from 1 species
AACUUUUAACAAUGGAUCACUAGGCUCUGGCAUCGAUGAAGAACGCAGCGAAAUGCGAUAAGUAAUGUGAAUUGCAGAAUUCAGUGAAUCAUCGAAUCUUUGAACGCACAUUGCGCCCUCUGGCAUUCCGGAGGGCAUGCCUGUUCGAGCGUCAUCACAACCCUCAAGCCCUGGCUUGGUGUUGGGCCUCUGUCCGCUAGACGGGCAGGCCUGAAAAUCAGUGGCAAUGCUUCUCCAGCUUCAAGCGUAGUAAAUCUGUCUUCGCCUUGGGUGGCUGGAUGUUGCUUUGGCCAAACCAACCUCCAUAUAUUUUAUUAUCGGUUGACCUCGGAUCAGGUAGGAAUACCCGCUGAACUUAAGCAUAUAAUAAGCGGAGGCU